CGAGAUGAGUUCUCCCUGACUCCUUGAGAGUCCUGAAGGAACGUUGAAGACGACGACGUUGAUAGGCCGGGUGUGUAAGCGCAGCGAUGCGUUGAGCUAACCGGUACUAAUGAACCGUGAGGCUUAACCUUACAACGCCGAAGCUGUU
rnacentral:rRNA from 3 species